rnacentral:sRNA from 1 species
GCUCCCCAUUUGCCCGAAUUUGCACGGGUGUGGUGCACGUUACUACGUCAUAUACAGGACAACAGCGAGAAGUAUUCGUCCUUUAUGGGAAUGUGCCAUAUGAUCAGGGUGAAUCCAGAAGGCAUUAUGACCGACUUCAUAUUCUUUUGCGAUGCAGUUGCCUCGUGGGAGAAUCCCCCACAGGAUCUGCGACAGAUGAUUCAAAAUAUUAUACAAGGCUUUCAGGACCAAAUGGGUGGGGAG